GCACACACCUAUAGUCCCAGCUACUUGGGAUGCUGAGGCAGGAGGAUCAGUUGAGCCCAGAAGUUCUGAGCUAUACUGUGCUAUGCCAAUUGGGUACCUACACUAAGUUCAGCAGCAACAUGGUGAUAUCUAGGAGCACAGGAACACCAGUUUGUCUAAGGAGGGGUGAACUGGCCCAGGUCAGAAACAAAGUAGGUCAAAACUCCUAUGCUGAUUAGUAGUGGGAUUGCGCCUGUGAACAGCCACUGUACUCCAGUCUGGGCAACGUGGAUAAGUUGCCCA
rnacentral:SRP_RNA from 1 species